rnacentral:rRNA from 1 species
AUUGAACGCUGGCGGCAGGCCUAACACAUGCAAGUCGAGCGGAGCGGCGGACGGGUGAGUAAUGUCUGGGAACCUGCCUGAUGGAGGGGGAUAACUACUGGAAACGGUAGUUAAUACCGCAUACUAUCAGAUGAGCCUAGGUCGGAUUAGCUAGUUGGGGGGGUAAAGGACGACAAAGGCGACGAUCCGUAACUGGUCUGAGAGGAUGAUCAGUCACAAUGGAACGGAGACACGGUCCAGAAUCCUACGUGAGGCAGCAGUGGGGAAUAUUGGACAAGGGGCGAAAGCCUGAUCCAGCCAUGCCGCGUGUGUGAAGAAGGUCUUCGGAUUGUAAAGCACGUUAAGUUGGGAGGCGUUACCAACAGAAUAAGCACCGGCUAACUUCGUGCCAGCAGCCGCGGUAAUAC